UACGUAGGGUGCGAGCGUUGUCCGGAAUUAUUGGGCGUAAAGAGCUUGUAGGCGGUCUGUCGCGUCUGCUGUGAAAAUCUGGGGCUCAACCCCGGACUUGCAGUGGGUACGGGCAGACUAGAGUGUGGUAGGGGAGACUGGAAUUCCUGGUGUAGCGGUGAAAUGCGCAGAUAUCAGGAGGAACACCGAUGGCGAAGGCAGGUCUCUGGGCCACUACUGACGCUGAGAAGCGAAAGCAUGGGGAGCGAACAGG
rnacentral:rRNA from 1 species